GGUUGACCUCGGAUCAGGUAGGGAUACCCGCUGAACUUAAGCAUAUCAAUAAGCGGAGGAAAAGAAACCAACCGGGAUUGCCCCAGUAACGGCGAGUGAAGCGGCAAGAGCUCAAAUUUGAAAUCUGGCCCCCCCGGGGUCCGAGUUGUAAUUUGCAGAGGAUGCUUCGGGUGCGGCCCCCGUCUAAGUGCCCUGGAACGGGCCGUCAGAGAGGGUGAGAAUCCCGUCCUGGGCGGGGAGUCCGCGCCCGUGUGAAGCUCCUUCGACGAGUCGAGUUGUUUGGGAAUGCAGCUCUAAAUGGGUGGUAAAUUUCAUCUAAAGCUAAAUACCGGCCGGAGACCGAUAGCGCACAAGUAAAUGAUCGAAAGAUGAAAAGCACUUUGAAAAGAGAGUUAAACAGCACGUGAAAUUGUUGAAAGGGAAGCGCUUGCGACCAGACUCGCCCCCGGGGUUCAGCCGGCACUCGUGCCGGUGCACUCCCCGUCGGGCGGGCCAGCGUCGGUUUGGGCGGCCGGUCAAAGGCCUCCGGAAUGUGUCGCCCUCCGGGGCGUCUUAUAGCCGGGGGUGCAAUGCGGCCAGCCCGGACCGAGGAACGCGCUUCGGCACGGACGCUGGCGUAAUGGUCGUAAACGACC
rnacentral:rRNA from 1 species